rnacentral:misc_RNA from 1 species
UCAAACUUGGUCAUUUAGAGGAAGUAAAAGUCGUAACAAGGUUUCCGUAGGUGAACCUGCGGAAGGAUCAUUAGUGUAAGGUGCAAGCCUUAACAAGAUAGUAACCCUGUCUUUUUAGUACUUUGUUUCCUCGGUAGGUAAGCCUACCAAGAGGAGAUAUUAACAUCUGAAAACAAUAUUGUAACUGAUUAUUAAAUAUAAAAACUUUCAACAACGGAUCUCUUGGUUCUGGCAUCGAUGAAGAACGCAGC